rnacentral:rRNA from 1 species
AUACGGAGGAUCCGAGCGUUAUCCGGAUUUAUUGGGUUUAAAGGGUGCGCAGGCGGCCAUUUAAGUCAGCGGUUAAAUCGUGGGGCUCAACCCCAUUCUGCCGUUGAUACUGGGUGGCUUGAUUGCGGUCGAGGUUGGCGGAAUUCGUUGUGUAGCGGUGAAAUGCAUAGAUAUGACGAAGAACACCGAUUGCGUAGGCAGCUGACCAGAUCGCAAAUGACGCUCAUGCACGAAAGUGCGGGGAUCGAACAGGAUUAGAUACCCUGGUAGUCCGCACAGUAAACGAUGAAUACUUGUUGUCGGCGAUAUAAUGUCGGAGGCAAAGCGAAAGCGAUAAGUAUUCCACCUGGGGAGUACGCCGGCAACGGUGAAACUCAAAUGAAUUGGCGGGG